UACGUACGAGGCGAGCGUUAUCCGGAAUUACUGGGCGUAAAGCGUGCGCAGGCGGCGCGUUAAGACAGGUGUGAAAGCCCCGAGCUUAACUUGGGAAUUGCGCUUGUGACUGGCGUGCUGGAGUGUGGCAGAGGGAGGUGGAAUUCCACGUGUAGCAGUGAAAUGCGUAGAGAUGUGGAGGAACACCGAUGGCGAAGGCAGCCUCCUGGGCCAGCACUGACGCUCAUGCACGAAAGCGUGGGGAGCAAACAGG
rnacentral:rRNA from 1 species